UUAUUGAAAAUUAAUAUUUAGGAACUCGGCAAAUUUUUAUUUCAUCUGUUUAAUAAAAACAUAUUUUUUUGUUAUAUAUUAAAAGUAAGGCCUGCCCAAUGAUUUUAAUUAAAUGGCUGCAGUAUUUUAACUGUACUAAGGUAGCAUAAUCAUUUGUUUAAUAAUUUUAGACUAGAAUGAAUGGUUUUAUGAAAAUAAAUCUUUCUUUUUAUUAAUAAUAAAAAUUUAUUUUAUCAAUUAAAAAAUUGAUAUAAAUUUAUAGGACGAGAAGACCCUAUAGAACUUUAUAUAUAAAAUCAAUAAUUAUUAAUUUUAUAUAUUAUAUUGGGGAGGUAGAAAUUUUUUUUUAACAAUUUUUUUUAAAAUCAUAAAUUUAUGAAUUUUUUGAUCCAAUCAAUAUUGAUUAUAAGAAUAAGUUACCUUAGGGAUAACAGCGUAAUUUAAUUGGAAAGUUCAUAUUUAUAAUUAGAGUUUGCGACCUCGAUGUUGAAUUAAGAUUAAAAUUAGGGGUAUAAUUUUAUAUUUUUUGGUCUGUUCGACCAGUUGUUUCUUACAUGAUUUGAGUUUAAACCGGCGUGAGCCAGGUUGGUUUCUAUCCUUAAUCUUUUUAUUAUUUUUUAGUACGAGAGGACCAAAAAUUAAAUUAAUAUUUA
rnacentral:rRNA from 1 species